GGAGAGAUGUCCGAGCUGGUCUAAGGAGCACGAUUGGAAAUCGUGUAGGGGGUUUGUAGCUCCCUCGUGGGUUCGAAUCCCACUCUCUCCG
rnacentral:tRNA from 1 species